rnacentral:lncRNA from 1 species
CUUAAUGUGAACAAUACAUUCUCUCAAUAAUCUCCACUUAUUCAGUUUAUUAACAAACGCAAAGAACAAUAAUAACUGUAGCAGUGAGAGUGUUCUUUUAUUACAGAAAAUCACUUCAGUCGCCAUUAUGCCUCUUGUGCUUUGUGGAAAUCAGGUUUACAAACGUUCAGAAAGCCUCUAGACGAGACCAAGGAUGCUUUAUACGUUUCUAUUUCAGAGAGUUCUCGAUAUCAAUCACAAACCGGUACUUGAUGUCCUUCUUCACCACCCUUUCAAUAGCUUCGUUUGCCUUCUGAAUGGGAAUCACCUCAAUGUUGGGAUAAAUCUUAUGAGCUGCACAAAAAUCUAUCAUCUCCUGAGUCACCUUGGUACCUCCACUUACACUUCCCGCAAGCACUCUCAUACCUGUAUACCAAUGAUCCUUAUGGUCUAAGCAUCUUGAGGGUAUGUAUGUAAGCGUAUAACAAAGAGAUGCGUACCAAGGUUGAGAGUGGCAGGCUGGAUUUUAAUCUCACUUGGGAAACCAACCAGGACAUAAGUCCCAGCGAUCUUCAACAGCGACAUGUAAGGAUCAAACGCGUGAUCACCAGACGCUGUGUCAAUGAUAAAGUCUAGAGACUUCGCUAGUGCCUGCCAAGUUAACAUCACGUAGCUACCAAGUUAGGUUUUGGUUCCAUCCCUAAGAAAACCCCUCUCUCUCUCUACGUACCUUCAUCUGGUCAUGGGCAGAGGAGAUAACGAAGUUGUUAGCUCCAAGCAGACUCAAAGCCUCCUCUUUCUUGGAGACGCUGGUGCUGAACACCGUCACAUGAAGUCCAAAAGCCUUGCCGAACUUAACCGCCAUGUGGCCAAGCCCACCAAGCCCAACCACGCCAAGAGAUUUACCAGGCUGGUUCAUAUUGUGACGCAUCAUGGGAGCAUAGACAGUGACGCCAGCGCAUAGCAACGGCGCAGCUGAUUCCAAGGGAUAGUCCACAGGUAUCUUAUAACAAUACCUAUUGUAUCAAACUCAUCAGCCACUCACUCACUCACUCACAACUUUUUUAAAGAAUAUGACAAAAGAGAGAGAGAGAGAUGAUUAUAAAACCAACCUCUCGUGAACAACGAUGUGGCUAGAGUAGCCUCCUUUGGUAACAGAGCCAUCGUAAUCAACGCCGUUGAAAGUGAAGACUUGCCCUUUCACACAGCUAACCUCUUGUCCUUCGUCGCAGUAAUCACACUCCCUGCAGGAGUUAACAAACGUGCCGACACCAACGUGGUCUCCGACUUUGAACCGUGUGACAUUAGAUCCAACCUUGUUCACUACUCCAGCAAUCUCAUGCCUUAAAAACAGAGGAAUAUUUAAAUUAAAUAAAAACAUUAGGGAAGGUCAAAGUUGGAAGCUUUAAUAAGAGAUGGGUAUUGUUCAAAAAAACAUACCCAGGAACCAAAGGGUACUUAGAGUCACCAUGUUUGUUUUUUGUCCAGAUGACGUCAGCGUAACAGACACCACAGUGUGUGAUUUUUAGUGAAACGUCAUCGCUUGUUACAGAUCUGGUCAUGGAUAUGAACAUGGUGUAUCAAAUCAUUUGCAUGAGAUGAGGAUUGGUGGAUGGUUAAUGAAACGUACCUGCGAGUGAACGUGUGAGGGGAGAGGAGACCAGAUGGAUCUCGUGCAGCCCAACUCAAGCACUCGUCUCCUCCGGGAGAACUCAUCGGCGGUUUCGAUUCUUCCAUUACCUAAUCAAUGAUCAUCGUCUUCUUCUUCUUAGCUGGCUUGCAGAAUAUGAACAUGGUUCAUUAAAUUUUAGGGAAAAUUGUUUUUUAGAGCUAAACAAAUGAUAACCAUUUUCUUUUAUAUUAAUAUCUAUUUUAUGCAAUUUUUGUCUAUAAUACCUCUUAAUAUUUUUGAAAAUAAAUUUAAUAAAUAGUUUUACAAACAAAAAAAAUUAGAAAAAUAGUAACUAUUGAUAAAAUACCUAUAUGAACUUAUUGAUAUUUUUUCAAUUCUAAAAAUGUUUAAAUCAUAAUUUUCAGAUUCUAUUCUAAAUAAAGUAGAAAUGACAUUCUACGAAUUAGAAAACGAAAUCCAUUUUUUUCAUUGAAUCUAUAAUGUUUAGAAUAUGUGAUCGACGUAAAUAAGAAUAUUCUAAAAAUAUUUAGAAUACACAUUCCGCGCUUAACCUACCGAUCUAAAAUCUUUAGAAAUCAAAAUCUACACAUUAAUAUAAAUCUAAAACACGUAGAAACCGACUUCUACAGAUUUACUGUAAAUCUGAAACAUGUAGAAAUCAAAAUCUACGCAUUACUAUAAUUCUAAAAACCUGUAGAAACCGAUUUCUACAUAUUAGUUGUAAGAAAAAGGUAUGGAGGCACAAAUCAUUUUUUUAUCUGAUCUCUCUAAUAUCAAAUGUUGAUGAUGCUGGUGAAAAUUUUCAGGAGAGAGAGGAAGGUGGAAGGGGGAGGUUCAAGACCCACUCAAACGCACCUGCAAGAAUUGCAGACAGAGAGAAGAAAGCUCCACUUAAGCAAUAAGACACACUUGAUCAUCCUAAUUGAUCUCAUUUAAGACUUCAUAUGUAUUGUAUUGCAGUAUGUGAACAUAUUUGCAAACUAAUAUUAAAAGUUGGAACCGUUUGUGUUUUAAAAUAAGUUGAAAGUAUAGUUGUCCGCCACCAUUUCUUUAUAUAUGUUAUUAGUCCUGAAAUGAGCUCAUCAUAUCUGGAGGUGAAGCUUAUUGGUUUCAUAUUUUGACAAGAGAUAAGAACAGAUUCUUUCAAGAACAUUAGAAAGCAAAAGAUAAAAUGGUCCAAACAGUGACAUUGCAAUCUUCAAACUAAUCAUAUCUAAAAGAUACACAGAGAUUGCGUCUUUAUCUAUAAUCCGUGUUUAGUGGGGGACCAACAAGCUGUUGAAACGAUGGUUACUUAGCCUCUCUGGCUCUUUGCCCACAUAUGCCUCCCUGUUACUUGAGCCGGUGGGUACAGAUCCGAACCAGCACUACGCUUCACAUCCACAUCUCCGUUGAAAGACAUUGACUGUUUCUUCUCAAACGGUGUUUUGGAACAAGACGAUGAAGAAGAACCUGACCUUCUCUGCUUAGCUUUGAUAGACUGCGUCAAGCUCAUGUAGCUUGGCUUUCUGUAAUACCCUCCUUCCUCAAGGAAGCUUCCUGAGAAGGGAACCGGGGACUGAGACGUAGAGGAAGUCUCGGAACUAGUAGCUGAUGAUGACAUUGGAGGAGGUCUAGCUAAAACUCUGGUUGUGAGACUGUUCUUCCUAACCUGAACCGCGUCGUGUUCAGACACGCUGCUCUCGCUUUUCCUUGCGUUGUUGUCUGAUGAGUUUGUGGGACCACCUUCCAUCAACCGCCCUUCCCAUGGCCUGUCUGCAACCCAUCUGUCGAGCCAGUUCCAACCCGGACUGCUCUUGCAUGACCCGCUACUCUUCUUAACGCUCCCUUGUUUGUUCACCUUAGCGUUAGGGCUUGGACACGUCCUUGGCUGUCAAAGAUUUUGAGAAAACUCAGUAAACACAAAUGUCUCUGAAAGAGUUAAUUAAGUGCUUUUCAAGCCGUUUUACCUGGUGUGUGAGUGCAUAUACCAUAGCUCUCUCCCUCUUGAUAGCUCCUUCUUGCCUCAUUUGUAGCUUCGUUCUCACUUCAUUCACACUUCCAGGGCUAUCACACCAACCCUUCUACACGAAAAACAUCAAUGCAAAGUUUAGUCUUCUCUUACAUGCCUCAUGCCUUUGUCUGAUAAUAUUAUUACCUCAGCUUGCUUAGCAGGAUCAUUCUUUUCUUCAGAUGGCUUCUCCAACUCCUGUCCAUCUGAAGGAGCCCUGUUGCAAUGAGCUCGUACACGAGCUUGGACUCGAACAAGAGCUUGCAUACACCUUAAUGUCACAUCAGCUUGCUUCCUGACUUGCCUUCCACGGAAUAUCGCCUGAAUCCUCACCACCGCCUUCAAAGCUCUCAGCGCCUGCCUUGCCUAUAAAAAACAUUGACCACAAAAGCUUCAGACAAAACUGAAUUGACUAAGUUCAUUAGUUGUUGAUGUUUUGACUUAAAGUUUCUAACUUUAUGAAAGUAACAACCAUAUAGACACAAGUCACUGCAAUGAUCAAGUCUCUAAUGUCCAUGUAAGAGUGUGUUUGACUUAAAGUUUCUAACUUUAUGAAUGUAAAGACACAACUCAUUGCAAUUAUCAAGUCUCUAAUGUCCAUGUAAGAGUCAAUGUACCAGGAAAGAUCGAAAAGCAGCUUGGAUCCGAGUUGCAGCCCAUUCACGUUUAACAAGAAGGAAAUCUUUAGGUGGAGCUCUGAUAACAGCAGCAACAGACGCGGCAAAAGAAUCGUCGGCGGAGAAAGAAGGUGGAUCUGAGCCAAGAGAAGGAGUUCCAUAGCUACCAGCACGGCUCUUGAAACCUUUUGAGGAGGAGAUGAAACUCUCUGAAGAAGUCCUCCACAGUUUCCAUUUCUUCUUGCUGUUCUUAUCACCUAACUGAAAAAAGAUCAAUGCUUUAUAAGAGAGAUCGAAUCAUGGAGAUAGAGAAAGAGAGAGGCUUUGGAGAUUACCUGAUGAUCAUCAGUGAUGGGUUUUUUGUUAGAAAUCAGAGACUUAAUCCAGUUUCCAGAGCCACCCAUUUGUCAAGUUGGAGACUUUGUAAUCAGUUACUGUGGAGAAAGAUCAGAUUCGAGGAUAUAACUGGUAAAGGAUUCUUGGGAAGCGAGGAGGAAGAAGAUGAAGAAAGAGAGAGAAAGUUUUGGUGGCCUGUGAAUGAUGUAGACAAAAAGGGUUUGUAAUGUUAAAAGAAGAGAGAAGAAGCAUUUGAAAUUUGAAAUUUUGGGCGAAGGAAGAGAAAAGCAUUUGUUUAAUUUAAACAACGGUAACAUUGACAUCUCGCUUUCGUCUCGUAAUAAAUAAAUAAAAGGAUAAUAAAUGACUCUUUUAACUUUGGAAAAUUAAAUAAUUUAUAUCUCAUGUCCCGCGUGGUGAUAAUGUUUACUAAAUAUGCUUUUAGGUCCAUGUAUAUAUGAAUUGUUAUGAAAGGACCACUAACUAUUUAUUUCUUUGUCUUUUCACCCCGUAACUCUUGUAAGCGUUAAAAAGUCCAUUUAGUGUUUUUAAUUUGUAUGGGAUCCAUCUUAGUGGUAUUGGUUUUUGUAUCGGGACUAGGUAAUAAUCUGCGCCUUGCGCGGAAUGUGAUUAUUAGUUUCGUUAUUUUUAAUAAAAACAAAUUAAAUUUGUUUAAUCUGGAUAUCAGUUUGGUUUUAAGUUAUUUUUUUGUUUUAAUCUCAUAAAAUAUAACUAUUAUUUUAAAUUAAUAUUUAUUUUGGUUUAUUCGGUUAGAAUGUUUGAUUUUUUAGUUUUUUCUGUAAAAACCAAAAAUUACUAUUAUUUUUUUAUUUUCAUGUUAUGAAUUUUAGAUAGUCGUCGUGUCGAACCAAUGGUUUCAUAUCAUAGUUUGUAAACGGAUAAUAGUUCAAGAAAAAUAAAAAAAAUUAUUAAGACAAAUAAUUUCACUACAAUUUGAUCAGUAGUGAAAGAAGCAUUAAGAAAAAAAUAUUUCAACUUCCAAAAAAAAAUAGAUACUUCAGUUGUCGUAAAUACUUAGUCACAAGGUGCUCACGUCAAUGUGCACAUGUAUGUGUAUGUAAAAGUAUAUAAAAAUAGUUGACAAUUAUAUAAAGAUAUUGUUAAUUAAUAUUAAAUGACAUUUUGUUCAAAAUAAUACAUGAAAGAUAAAAUUAAAAUUAAUUAAAAAUUAAAAAGGCCUUGACAUUAGUGAAUUUUUUUCAUAUAAAGAAAAAUAAAUUGUAUCUGUAAAUAGAGGUGAGCACAUAUCAAAUAUCCGGGUAUUUGGAGGCAUUUAUGUCGAUUCAAUCUUUAGCCACAUGGAUAGUCGGUGACUCUGAUAUCCGAAAUGAUUUAGAAUUUUAAAGAAUAUCCGAUUUGAUCCGUAGAUAAAAUAAAAUUUUAAAAAUAAUUGAAAAUUUUAAUAAUAACAUUUUAUUACAAAAAUAAAAAAUAUAUAUUAUUUAACUUUUAGAAUUUACCUAAUAUAAUAAAUUUAAUUCAUAAAAAUAUGUAAAACUUAUACAAACUAUAAUAUAUAUAACAUAUAUAUAUAUAAUUUUGUACAUAUAUGUAUAUAUAUGUAUAUAACAGAUCGAAUUAGAUAUCCGUUCCUAAUAAUAUUGGUAUUUGUGAUUUGUUUUUUUUUUAUAUAUUGUAUUUUAGUAUUUGAUUUGCUUCUUAAAGUUACGGAUAUCCAUAUUUUUUGGUUCAAAUCAAAACGGAUAACGAAUCAAAUCAAAAUUUAUAAAUAUUUUGCCUAACUUUAUCCGUAAAUAAUAAAAAUAAUAUAUAUAUAGUUUAACUUUAGAUUCGUUAUUUGUUUUGAUUCGAACCGAAAAAUCCAAAGUUUUAUUGAAAGUGAGUUUUAUAUUAAAAAAUACGAAAUAUAUAGUAUAUAUGAACACAUUUAUGAAUAUAGUGUGAACGCGUUAGCAUAUUUAUUAUCAAAUCAUUAUGAGGUUGCCACGUGUCUAUUAUAGUACGUGUCUAUUAUAGUGUGAAUGCAUUUAUUACGAUGUUUUUUUUUAAUAUAUAAGGGAUUAUAUAAAAAAUAUGUCAUCUGUUAUAGAAAAAUAGCAUUUUCGAAAAUGGAAGAUUAGAAAAUAAAACAACCUUGAAGUGGACAAAGAAAACAAUCUUGAUGUGGACAAAAAACAAUCUAGUGGAAACAUAUGAUAUAACAUCAGUUUAACAUUUAAAAAAAAAAACACAGUACGACACGGUGAUUAUAGAAAGGGGAAUUGGGUUGUAGAAAUGAAUACUACAAAAGUUGGUAGUGUGGUUAGAUCAUAGACCCAGUCACUAUAGAAAUAAAGAAAACCAAUAAUACAAAUCCACCACUAUGACAAUGUUCAUCUCAAUAUUAUAAUUUCUUUGUAUUUUAGUUUUAAACACUUAUAAAUCCACUAAAUACAAAUCUUUAGACAAAUUCUUAUUAUUGAAUAAUAUUGAUUCUAAAAUAUGUUACCGAUUUUAAAAUCAAGAAUCGAUAACAAUUGAUUUAAAUAUAAGAAUCGAUAACAGUUGAUUUAAAUAUAGAUUUCAAAAUCAUAAAACCAAUAAUGACACAUUCCAAAUACAAGAACCAAUAACAUCAGCUUAAUGUGAACAAUACAUUCUCUCAAUAAUCUCCACUUAUUCAGUUUAUUAACAAACGCAAAGAACAAUAAUAACUGUAGCAGUGAGAGUGUUCUUUUAUUACAGAAAAUCACUUCAGUCGCCAUUAUGCCUCUUGUGCUUUGUGGAAAUCAGGUUUACAAACGUUCAGAAAGCCUCUAGACGAGACCAAGGAUGCUUUAUACGUUUCUAUUUCAGAGAGUUCUCGAUAUCAAUCACAAACCGGUACUUGAUGUCCUUCUUCACCACCCUUUCAAUAGCUUCGUUUGCCUUCUGAAUGGGA